rnacentral:rRNA from 1 species
GACAGAGGGUGCAAACGUUGUUCGGAAUCACUGGGCGUAAAGCGCGUGUAGGCGGCUGCGCAAGUCGGGCGUGAAAUCCCGUGGCUCAACCACGGAAGUGCACCCGAAACUGCGUAGCUAGAGUCUCGGAGAGGAAGGCGGAAUGCUUGGUGUAGAGGUGAAAUUCGUAGAUAUCAAGCGGAACACCGGUGGCGAAGGCGGCCUUCUGGACGAUGACUGACGCUGAGACGCGAAAGCGUGGGGAGCAAAC